AUUGAACGCUGGCGGCAGGCCUAACACAUGCAAGUCGAACGAGUGGCGGACGGGUGAGUAAUGUCUGGGAAACUGCAUGAUGGAGGGGGAUAACUACUGGAAACGGUAGCUAAUACCGCAUACCAUCGGAUGUGCCCAGAUGGGAUUAGCUAGUGGUUGGGGUAAAGGCUCCCCAAUGCGACGAUCCCUAGCUGGUCUGGGAGGAUGACCAGCCACACUGUAACUGAGACACGGUCCAGACUCCUACGUGAGGCAGCAGUGGGGAAUAUUGCACAAUGGGCGCAAGCCUGAUACAGCCAUGCCGCGUGUAUGAAGAAGGCCUUCGGGUUGUAAAGUACUUUCAGCGGGGAGGCGUUACCCGCAGAAGAAGCACCGGCUAACUCCGUGCCAGCAGCCGCGGUAAUUC
rnacentral:rRNA from 1 species